rnacentral:rRNA from 1 species
AUUGAACGCUGGCGGCAUGCCUUACACAUGCAAGUCGAACGGCAGCACGGGGCAACCUGGUGGCGAGUGGCGAACGGGUGAGUAAUGCAUCGGAACGUACCUUUCAGUGGGGGAUAACGUAGCGAAAGUUACGCUAAUACCGCAUACUCUGUGAGCAGGAAAGCAGGGGAUCGCAAGACCUUGCGCGGAUUGAGCGGCCGAUGUCAGAUUAGCUAGUUGGUGAGGUAAAGGCUCACCAAGGCGACGAUCUGUAGCGGGUCUGAGAGGAUGAUCCGCCACACUGGAACUGAGACACGGUCCAGACUCCUACGGGAGGCAGCAGUGGGGAAUUUUGGACAAUGGGGGCAACCCUGAUCCAGCCAUGCCGCGUGAGUGAAGAAGGCCUUCGGGUUGUAAAGCUCUUUCGGCCGGGAAGAAAUCGCACGGGCUAAUACCCUGUGUGGAUGACGGUACCGGAAUAAGAAGCACCGGCUAACUACGUGCCAGCAGCCGCGGUAA